GACGAACGCUGGCGGCGUGCUUAACACAUGCAAGUCGAACGGAAAGGCCCUGCUUUUGUGGGGUGCUCGAGUGGCGAACGGGUGAGUAACACGUGAGUAACCUGCCCUUGACUUUGUGAUAACUUUAGGAAACAGGGGCUAAUACCGGAUAGGAGCUCCUGCUGCAUGGGGGGGGUUGGAAAGUUUCGGCGGUUGGGGAUGGACUCGCGGCUCAUCGGCUUGUUGGUGGGGUAGUGGCUUACCAAGGCUUUGACGGGUAGCCGGCCUGAGAGGGUGACCGGCCACAUUGGGACUGAGAUACGGCCCAGACUCCUACGGGAGGCAGAAGUGGGGAAUAUUGCACAGUGGGCGGAAGCCUGAUGCAGCAACGCCGCGUGCGGGAUGACGGGCUUCGGGUUGUAAACCGCUUUCGCCUGUGACGAAGCGUGAGUGACGGUAAUGGGUAAAGAAGCACCGGCUAACUACGUG
rnacentral:rRNA from 1 species